GAUGAAGAACGUAGUGAAAUGCGAUACUUGGUGUGAAUUGCAGAAUCCCGUGAACCAUCGAGUCUUUGAACGCAAGUUGCGCCCGAAGCCAUUAGGCCGAGGGAACGCCUGCCUGGGCGUCACACGUCGUUGCCCCCCCAUCUACUCCUUCGGGAUUGCGGGGGGCGGAUGAUGGCCUCCCGUGCGCCUCGUCGCGCGGUUGGCAUAAAUGCCAAGUCCUCGGCGACGCACGCCACGACAAUCGGUGGUUGCGAAACCUCGGUUGCCCGUCGUGUGCGGUCGUCGCGCAUCGAGGGCUCGAAAAAAUUGCCGGGCUCCGGCUCGGCUUUCAACGCGACCCCAGGUCAGGCGGGGUUACCCGCUGAAUUUAAGCAUAUCAAUAAGCGGAGGA
rnacentral:misc_RNA from 1 species